GAUGAACGCUAGCGGCAGGCCUAAUACAUGCAAGGCGAGGGGUUCGCAAGGACACCGUCGUACGGGUGCGUAACGCGUAUGCAACCUACCUAUCACAGGGGGAUAGCCUUUGGAAACAGGGAUUAAUACCGCAUAAAGCAGGGGCUUGGCAUCAAGAUACUGCUAAAGAUUUAUCGGUGAUAGAUGGGCAUGCGUCUGAUUAGUUAGUUGGCAGGGUAACGGCCUACCAAGACGAUGAUCAGUAGGGGGCGUCAGAGCGUGGUCCCCCACACUGGCACUGAGAUACGGGCCAGACUCCUACGGGAGGCAGCAGUAGGGAAUAUUGGGCAAUGGGUGCAAGCCUGACCCAGCCAUGCCGCGUGGAGGAAGAAGGUCCUCUGGAUUGUAAACUCCUUUUGUCGGGGAAGAAGAGUCAUCUUGCGAGGUGAUGUGACGGUACCCGAUGAAUAAGCCACGGCUAACUACGUGCCAGCAGCC
rnacentral:rRNA from 1 species